GGUGGGUAGGUGAGGGGAGGAAAGGAUUGUGAAGAGAUGAGCACAUGGUCGCCGCCAUUAUGCUGCCGCGUGGUCCCUGCUUGAGACAGAAACACUGCCAGACUAGAUUUCUCAGAAGAACCAGGCUUCGGCUACCAGUGUGCCAGGAGGAAAGGAGAUAGGACACUCUGCUGAUCAGGACUACAGAUACAGACUGGACACCUCUUCACCUCCGGCUACCAGCGUGACACGGAGACUCCAGGGACAGACUCUGCAGCCUUCUCGCCCUUCAGCUACCGGAAGGAGCUACAAACAACCCCCCUGCCAAGCUGACUUUUUAAUAAAGAGCUGAACACUAAUAAAGGCAUAAAACCUGUUCA